UACGGGGGGGGCAAGCGUUGUUCGGAUUUACUGGGCGUAAAGGGCGCGUAGGCGGCCAUUCAAGUCAGAGGUGAAAGCCCAAGGCUCAACCUUGGAAUUGCCUUUGAUACUGUUUGGCUUGAGACCGGAAGAGGUAAGUGGAACUGCGAGUGUAGAGGUGAAAUUCGUAGAUAUUCGCAAGAACACCAGUGGCGAAGGCGGCUUACUGGUCCGGUUCUGGACGCUGAGGCGCGAAAGCGUGGGGAGCAAACAGG
rnacentral:rRNA from 1 species